AAGUGCCACAUCCCAGACCAUCCCUGCCCGGGACAUCCUGGCAGAGCCUGUCCUCAGCCUGCAGUGGGGGCUCCCCAGGUCUCCAAGGAAGGAACCAUCUCCACAGAGUGCCACAGGCUGCCCCGUGCCAGGGGACAGCCCAGAAGCCGAGUCCCCAUCAGAGAAUUCUCUCCUGUACAGUUUCUGCAGAGGAACUGCACCUGAAGGGUUUUGCAGAGGACCCUCAGCGAAGCCGCUGUCAGAGGCAGGAUCCACGUGCCUUGGGGAGGUCCAGGGGUUGUAAAUAUCAGCACCUCCCUGCGCCAGGAAUCAUGGAAUCAUUAAAGCUGCAAAACACCUCCGAGAUGGAGAGAAACUACUGACAAGAGCCUGGAGGGACAGCUCACAGGGAAUGGCUCCCAGUGCCAGAGGGCAGGGCUGGAUGGGAGAUUGGGAAUCAGGAAUUGUUCCCUGGCAGGGUGCUGAGGCCCUGGCACAGGGUGCCCAGAGCAGCUGUGGCUGCCCCUGGAUCCCUGGCAGUGCCCAAGGCCAGGUUGGACACUGGGGCUGGGAGCAGCCUGGGACAGUGGGAGGUGUCCCUGCCAUGGCAGGGGUGGAAGGAGAUGAUCCUUGAGGUCACUCGCCAUCCAAACCAUUCCAUGAUUCCGUGAUUCUCUGCUCUGCCUUCACAUUCGUGCCAGGGAACCCCAGGCAGACCUGUGGCAAACCCAUCUCGUGGUGGCUCUCACAGCUCACCCAGUCGGUCUGGGAUGAUCCAUCAGGCAGGAAUCCCACCUCGAGGUGGGCCCUCCCUCCUUGUCAGCUCCUCUGCAGACCCACAGACCCGGUCCUUAAAGCUGCCAAUCUCCGGGAGCUCAUUUGCUUUGCUGGUUAAUCUUUAACUCUCCUUUGUGCCCGCAAUAAUAUCUGUUCUCACUGAUAACCCCUGCCUGAUCCCUGCGGGCUCUGCUCCCUAAUUAACUGAUGGAAAUUGCUGAUAUCCCUGGCACAAUAGCAGUGGCUAUCCAGCACUCUGCUACAGAAUUUUAGACUUUAUUGAAGUAUUUAUUCAAUCUUUUUUUAGCAAAGAAAGCAGGCACAGCCUCAUUCUCCAUUAGACAUUUCUGUGGGAGGGAAAUCAAUGCAGGAAAUUAUGUUUGGUUCAAAUAUUUACGCGGUGACAUCACUCAGGGUAGGGACAUUUCUCCAAAUUAAUCACGUUAGGUGAGCGAUGCACAAAGCCACAUCUGACCAUAAAAAUGGGAUACACAGAGCCAUGGAAUCAUGGAGUGGUUUGGAUUGGAAGGGACCUUAAACAACACAGAAUCAGAGAAUCAGAGAAUGGAAUUAUUGAGGCUGGCAAAUCCCUCCCAGCCCAGGCAGUGCCAGCUGUGCCCCGUGCCCACCUUGUCCCCAGCCCAGAGCACUGAGUGCCACCUCCAGGUGCCACCUGCAGGGAUGGGCACUGCAGAGCUCCCUGGGCAGCCCCUGCCAAGGCCUGAGCCCCCUUUCCAUGGGGAAAUUCCUGCUGCUGUCCGAGCUGAGCCUCCCCUGGCCCAGGCUGAGGCUCUGAUCACCGUGAGAAUUCACAGCUCUCAGGAGUUUUAUCUCCCCGGUCUGUGCAGUCAUUCCAGCUGGCACCAGGGGAAGAGUUUGCCCUUCAAUCUGUAAGAUAAUUUCUGCUGUCUUUCUGAGCUGUGUGACCCCAGCACGCCUGUGAGGCUCCACCAGCCGCUCGUGCCCUCCCGGCAGAGCCUCAGCCCAGCCCACGCCACGGCUGUUGUGUCACGUUUGGCUUCCUGCAGCUCUCUGCUGGUCCAGGACUGACCCGGUUUUUGCUCGGUGCACAGCUGGAUUCAUCAUGAUGGGACCAGCAGCAGCUGUUGGCCGUGAGAAUGUCGGCAGUGGGAGAAGAAAUUUUGUCCACUUUGUGAGUCUUGGACAGGCUGACGACAGCAAUGCUGGAGACCAGCACAGCACAGGAGUGGGAGGUGCAGCUGUGCAAGGCCCUGGUCCUCAGCGGUGGAGAAAUUCCAUUCCUCAGUGGGUGGAAUACAUCUCAUGGAGGGCAAAGCAGGGGAUUGGAAAUAAAACCCCCACAGCCCGUCCAGCAUCUGCAGCCCCUCGCUGUCUGCUGGACUGGGAGGCCCAGCCCCGGUGCCUGGACAUGGCAUCAGCAGUGUGGAAGUGCUGGGAAGCCAGUCCUGCAGAGCCGGAGGGCCCCAGCUCCCCCGGAGAUCCACCACCAACCACCUUCCUGCCAGGUCUCCUGCUUCCCACCAGGACCCCAGGCCCUUCUCCUCUUCUCCUUUCUGAUCAGAUAAUCCUCAUCUGGAAUAAAAGCACCGAUUAUAAUGAAAUUUAACCCAAAAUCUGUGAGACAGAUCUGCUCAGGCCCAAACAACAGCGCAGUCUGUCCUCAGGCACCGGUUAAUUCCUGCUAAUUAUGGUUAAUGACAACAAGGAGCUGUCGACUCAGCGGCGUGUUUGCAUUGUGUGGGAUUGCCUUUGGAAGCACACCACACAACAUCAGGAGCCGCAGGAAGAUGAUGGGUGCCCAACAGCCUCAGUCUGCAAU